AUUGAACGCUGGCGGCAUGCCUUACACAUGCAAGUCGAACAGCAGCACGGGUGCUUGCACCUGGUGGCGAGUGGCGAACGGGUGAGUAAUACAUCGGAACGUACCUUAUCGUGGGGGAUAACGCAGCGAAAGCUGUGCUAAUACCGCAUACGCCCUGAGGGGGAAAGCGGGGGAUCGCAAGACCUCGCGCGAUUAGAGCGGCCGAUGCCUGAUUAGCUUGUUGGUGGGGUAAAAGCCCACCAAGGCGACGAUCAGUAGCUGGUCUGAGAGGACGAUAAGCCACACUGGGACUGAGACACGGCCCAGACUCCUACGGGAGGCAGCAGUGGGGAAUUUUGGACAAUGGGGGCAACCCUGAUCCAGCAAUGCCGCGUGAGUGAAGAAGGCCUUCGGGUUGUAAAGCUCUUUUGUCAGGGAAGAAACACCGGCUCUAACACAGUCCGGGAAUGACGGUACCUGAAGAAUAAGCACCGGCUAACUACGUGCCAGCCGCCGCGGUAAGAC
rnacentral:rRNA from 1 species